GAUGAACGCUGGCGGCGUGCCUAAUACAUGCAAGUCGAGCGAAUGGAUUAAGAGCUUGCUCUUAUGAAGUUAGCGGCGGACGGGUGAGUAAUACGUGGGUAACCUGCCCAUAAGACUGGGAUAACUCCGGGAAACCGGGGCUAAUACCGGAUAACAUUUUGAACCGCAUGGUUCGAAAUUGAAAGGCGGCUUCGGCUGUCACUUAUGGAUGGACCCGCUUGGCAUUAGCUAGUUGGUGAGGUAACGGCUCACCAAGGCAACGAUGCGUAGCCGACCUGAGAGGGUGAUCGGCCACACUGGGACUGAGACACGGCCCAGACUCCUACGGGAGGCAGCAGUAGGGAAUCUUCCGCAAUGGACGAAAGUCUGACGGAGCAACGCCGCGUGAGUGAUGAAGGCUUUCGGGUCGUAAAACUCUGUUGUUAGGGAAGAACAAGUGCUAGUUGAAUAAGCUGGCACCUUGACGGUACCUAACCAGAAAGCCACGGCUAACUACGUGCCAGCAGCCGCCGCCG
rnacentral:rRNA from 1 species